rnacentral:rRNA from 1 species
UAGGGAAUCUUCCACAAUGGGCGAAAGCCUGAUGGAGCAACGCCGCGUGUGUGAUGAAGGGUUUCGGCUCGUAAAGCACUGUUGUAAGAGAAGAAUGACAUUGAGAGUAACUGUUCAAUGUGUGACGGUAUCUUACCAGAAAGGAACGGCUAAAUACGUGCCAC